GUGGGGAAUAUUGCACAAUGGGCGCAAGCCUGAUGCAGCAACGCCGCGUGAGGGAUGACGGCCUUCGGGUUGUAAACCUCUUUUAGUAGGGAAGCAGCGUAAGUGACGGUACCUGCAGAAAAAGCACCGGCUAACUACGUGCCAGCAGCCGCGGUAAUACGUAGGGUGCAAGCGUUGUCCGGAAUUAUUGGGCGUAAAGAGCUCGUAGGCGGCUUGUCGCGUCUGCCGUGAAAACCCAGGGCUCAACUCUGGGCGUGCGGUGGGUACGGGCAGGCUAGAGUGCGGUAGGGGAGAGUGGAAUUCCUGGUGUAGUGGUGGAAUGCGCAGAUAUCAGGAGGAACACCGAUGGCGAAGGCAGAUCUCUGGGCCGUAACUGACGCUGAGGAGCGAAAGCAUGGGGAGCGAACAGGAUUAGAAACCCUAGUAGUCC
rnacentral:rRNA from 1 species